CGGACCCGAAAAUGUCGAUGACUUUGGCGUAGAGGCGGUGCGAGCAGUGGAAAGGAAUAUACCAGCAUAAAUGUUAUGACUAAAUAUUUACCCUGCACACAAGCUCUGUUGUGUGUCCUGUGAAUGGAAGAGGUUCGGUGUGUACGGAAUGCUCGGAUAUGCCUGUGUGUUCUGUGCGGUUUGCCGGCCGCAGGAAAGUCUAAAUUGGCGCAAGUUCUUCACGAGCACCUCGAAAAGAGGGGCUUCGGUGCUUUCGUGUUGUCGUACGACGAGUUAAUCCCUGACGAGCCGUUCGAGUUCAACACUGGGGAUGGAGACCAGAAUCGCGGGUCGAGCUGGAAGAUGCGCAGGCAGCGAGUGCUGCGCACUUUGGCGCGUUUUCUGCACCGCGGCUGCGCAGACGACGCUGACGCUGCGACGUGGACGCGCUUGACGCAGGAGCUGCAUCAGUUGCGCGCCCGUGGGCAUCAGUCAGCGCUGGUGAUCCUGCUGGACGACAACUUCUACUACCAGAGCAUGAGAUACGAGGUGUACCAGCUGGCCAGGAGAUACUCCAUGGGUUUUUGUCAGCUGUACGUGCAGCGCCCCGUGACCUCCUGCCUCCGCAGGAAUCGGACCCGGAGCUGCCCGCUGCCGGAUGAGGUCAUCGUGGCGAUGGAGAAACGUCUGGAGCCUCCGAACCCUCUUAAAAACAGCUGGGAGCACAGCAGCUUGACCAUGACCAGCGAGGAUGGAUUUUCACCGCAGGGCAUAGAGCUGUCCAUCGACCUUAUAGCAGCAUCGCUGGAUAACCCACUGAGCCCCAUCCAGGAUGAUACAGAGCAAAAGGAGGCUGAUCGGCAGCGCUGCACUUCCAGCGUGAUGCAUCAGGCCGAUCAGGCCUGUCGGAGACUCGUGUCUCAGGCCAUGCAGAGCGCCAGAGAAAAAAAAUUAGGUCCAGAAAGUAUGCGAUCCCUAGCUGCAGAACUGAACCAGCUGAAGGAGAGGUUUCUGGAUGACCUACGCAAAGAAAUGCUCCAGCGGUGCCCUGUAAGCACUGGUGAGAACAUGGAUGUGGGGCGAGUGGUGAGCAGAGCAGUCGCUGUCUUUGAUCAGAAGAAGAAUGAAUGUGUUGCAAAGCACAGCGCAGAACACAAGUCCAACCCUCCAUGACAAGUCAUACGAUGCCGUUUCUGGUUCUUACACAACAGUAUCAAACUGAAGUGGUUCUACACAUUCAAACUGUAGGAGCAGCUGAAUUGGCAACAUGUCUUUGGGUAGUUUAUACAUGUUGUCAUUCCAACACUGCAUCUUUUGUAGGAAAGGAGCCAGGAAACUGGCUCACAUAUCAUAACUCUUAAGUUAUAUGACCUAUAAUAAUAAAAUUCUUAAACUUUUGCUCUUUCAUAGAACUAGGGCCAUUCUGUUUGCUUCAAAUUACUUAAAUGUACAAGAGCGGGAUAUAGUAAGGUUAGCCAGUUAAUAUUUAAUGACCUCCGGCUACUGACAAAAGCUUUUAAUUUACAUAAAAUGUAUUAAGAUCUUUUAAUCUACAUAAAAUGAUCUGCCUGGUGAGCUGCCACCCCGAACAAAGGAAGUUCUUCAAUAUAAAAUGUGAAUUCAAACAUGGUAUUAUUUGUAGUUUACACUAAACUAUUCAAUGCUGCCUGGAAUCUGUUUCUCUAUAGCAAUGAGUUAACAGCACCACACGAUGGUUAUUUCUGCUCUUACUGAGGUCAUAAAGCCUUGAACAAAACCAGAGUUUAAGCCAGCGUGAGCUUUGCUCAAUGCAGUUUUUGUAAUGCUGGAUCACAGUGUGCUCAUCCAGUGACAGGCAUGGAAACACCUUUUUUUCCAAAAAAAAAAAAAAGGUAUUAACUGUCAUGCUACAUUGUGACAGUUUAAAAAAAUAUGAAAUCCAUACUGUCCAGUUCUGACUAGACUAACAGGGACCACCAAAAACUACAGAGUGAUAAUUCUUACACAAACCCAACCAUAAACAAGGCAUCUGAAGGAGGUGUGCAUUGAUUAAAAACAGAAGAGAAACGCCAGUACAACGCUUGUCUCUAGUACUCUAUUGUGUACCCGACUUCACUACAACAACCUAGACAAUAUUAGGUAAGUAUUUCCGUUUUAUUUCGUGGGGACAUAACUUUACUCCCACACGUACAUCUUCAAUAUUGUUAACACAAAUUAAGGUUAAAUAAGGAAGAGGAAGUGAUAACCACACCAGAUGUGCAAAUCAUUUCAAUGCUCGAGAACCAGGUACACAAGUGAAAAUUGCUGAUUAUAAAGAACACGCUAUGAUUCUACUGAGCUGCUACAGUGCUAUUAAAAUAUGCUAUUUCAAAUACUUUGAAGGUUACUGAGGAAUACUUUGGCCUUGAAAGAAUAAGCAAUUAUAAUUCAAGUUGUGAAAAUAUACUUUUUUUAUAUUCAAGGCUAGUUUUGAUGAUGGCAUUAUUUAUGUUUUGUGAAUGGGUAAGGGUAUUUUUUUUUUUUUUUUUAACAUAGGUGCUAGAAAUCAUGAGUACUUUUCCCCAUGACUUGGUGAUGCCAGAAAGAUGUGAAAUUUUUUUAAUGAUGGGUGCAAAGGGAUGACCUCACGACUACACAUGGGUGGCGGGUUUGCGAAAAUACAAAGCCUAGUCAAAAGCAUCCCUUGGAUGCUCUGCAAAGUAUAUGCUUGAUAUUGCCAGUCUGCAUUCAUGAUUUAGACUUUUUCUUCAGCACAAUGUCUUGAUUUAGAUAUGUCCCAGGCAGAUGCUGAGGUCUGGCAAAGAACCAUCCUCAAUGCUCUUGUGAGGUAACAACAUUGACACCUUGCUGUCAAACGUGCAACAAUGGUGGUAAACAACACUCACAACCUCGAAGGCUAGGAGCGUAUUAGCUCACGUUCAUGUAUUUUCCAUGGCUCGAGUCAAAGCCAGGGGUUUUUGAACAUUGUUCGCUUACAAAAUGCUCAGCUGGUAGUGCUUGAAGAUAGCGAGUUGUAAUUCCAUUUAAAAACGUCCAUCUACUCUCCUUUUACAAAGUUGUGUACAUGUGAUGGCACAAAAAAAAA